ACUUAAGCAUAUCAAUAAGCGGAGGAAAAGAAACCAACAGGGAUUGCCCCAGUAACGGCGAGUGAAGCGGCAAGAGCUCAAAUUUUAAAUCUGGGGUCCCCCGACCCCCGAGUUGUAAUUUGGAGAGGCAACUUCGGGAGGAGCGCUGGCCCAUGUUCCUUGGAACAGGACGUCGCAGAGGGUGAGAAUCCCGUGCCAGGCCAGCCGCGCCCUUCCUUGUGAAGCGCCUUCGACGAGUCGAGUUGUUUGGGAAUGCAGCUCCAAGUGGGUGGUAAAUUUCAUCUAAAGCUAAAUACCGGCGAGAGACCGAUAGCGCACAAGUAGAGUGAUCGAAAGAUGAAAAGCACUUUGAAAAUAGAGUCAAAAAGUACGUGAAAUUGUUGAAAGGGAAGCGCUUGAGACCAGACUCGGAGCGAGGGAAACAUCUGGCCCCGCGGGGCCGUGCACUUGCCUCGAUCCGGGCCAGCAUCAGUUGGCGUGGCGGGAGAAAGGCGCGGGGAAUGUGGCUCCCCCCGGGGAGUGUUAUUAGCCCCGCGCUCAAUGCCGCCCUCGCCGACUGAGGACCGCGCUUCGGCUAGGAUGCUGGCUUAAUGGCCUUCAGCGACCCGUCUUGAAACACGGACCAAGGAGUCUAACAUCUAUGCGAGUGUUUGGGUGCCAAACCCUUUCGCGCAAUGAAAGUGAACGGAGGUGGGAACCCCUC
rnacentral:rRNA from 1 species